rnacentral:rRNA from 1 species
CAGCACCUCAAGUGGUCAGGAUGAUUAUUGGGCCUAAAGCAUCCGUAGCCUGUUUUGUAAGUUUCCGGUUAAAUCCAUUAGCUCAACUAAUGGGCUGCCGAAAAUACUGCAAAACUAGGGAGUGGGAGAGGUAGACGGUACUCGGUAGGAAGGGGUAAAAUCCUUUGAUCUAUUGAUGACCACCUGUGGCGAAGGCGGUCUACCAGAACACGUUCGACGGUGAGGGAUGAAAGCUGGGGGAGCAAACCGGAUUAGAUACCCGCGUAGUCC